rnacentral:rRNA from 1 species
CCUACGGGUGGCUACAGUGGGGAAUAUUGGACAAUGGGCGAAAGCCUGAUCCAGCCAUGCCGCGUGUGUGAAGAAGGCCUUCGGGUUGUAAAGCACUUUCAGUGGGGAAGAAAGCCUUGGGGCUAAUACCCUCGAGGAAGGACAUCACCCACAGAAGAAGCACCGGCUAACUCGGUGCCAGCAGCCGCGGUAAUACGGAGGGUGCGAGCGUUAAUCGGAAUUACUGGGCGUAAAGCGCGCGUAGGCGGUCUGAUAAGCCGGUUGUGAAAGCCCCGGGCUCAACCUGGGAACGGCAUCCGGAACUGUCAGGCUAGAGUGCAGGAGAGGAAGGUAGAAUUCCCGGUGUAGCGGUGAAAUGCGUAGAGAUCGGGAGGAAUACCAGUGGCGAAGGCGGCCUUCUGGACUGACACUGACGCUGAGGUGCGAAAGCGUGGGUAGCAAACAGGAUUAGAUACCCUAGUAGUC